CCCGCAGCAGCUCUGGCCCGUAGCAGAACGAAGAUCUGCGGGAACUUCAGCACCAUACACACAAACAGAGUGCUGAAAUUCGCCACAUGAAGGCUCAGAUUCCCGUCCAUCUCUGUCUCCUCCAGAGUCCUGCGCCUUUAAUCCAGCUCUGUGAAUCUGAUCCUGGCUGCUGGCACCGAAGAGUCCCAGCUGUUACCAUCGGCACUUCCGCACACAUCAGCGCGCGAGAUUUGACCCUCUACAGCGCCCGUACAGCUCGACUGAGGGAUGCUGCUACUACAAUGCUUCUCUUAUUUCUGAAGACAACAGGUCGUUAUUUGAAAACAGGGCAUCUUUAUUGAACUUUCCUUCAGCUGAGGUUACAGCCCUCUGGAUCACUAGCUGUUGCCGGGAGCGAUGACUGGUCGUAAGAUCAAUGACUCCAUCUGCUGGUGUGUCUUUAUUGUUUGGAAGUGUUCCAUCAUUUCCUGGUCUGUCACCUGACCGCUGCGGAUUAAAUGGUAUGGGCACUGGUAUGGGUAUGGGGACUGGCAAUGGCACAAUCACUGGAUAGGGCACUAAUAACGUUGGUGGAGGCACUAAGGGGGCCAGAGAAGGCAUGCCAAUAUUCAUAAUAGGUGGAACUGGGAUGGGACCAGAUGGCAUCAUGUUAACUGGGGGGAAAGGCAAGCCUGGCAUGUGGGCAGCAGGGUGAGGGGGCAUUAUACCUGGAGGGUUCCCAGAAAGGGUUGGGGUAGAGGAAGGGUGUAAAUGGGGGGAAAGGAGUGGGCGAUGCAUGGGGCUUGAUGGAGGACACAAAGUCCGUGGAGGUGGUGGUGGCCCAAUGCCAGGAAUCAUGGGAUUGGAAUGAGGGCUGUUUGGGCCUGGUGGGCGUAGAAACGGAGGGCGCAUCUGCUGCAUCAUCUGGUGCUCCAUGAAGAUAGGGAAAGGAACUGGGCCUCGAGGUGUCAUGACCAUAGGUGGGCUGCCGGGUGGCAUACCCAGAGCUGGAUGUAGCCCUGAUAUAGAUGGUGGAUGAGGUGGCGGUAAAGAAGGGCUUUCGUGUGGCCGCGGUGUGGGUAUUUUCGUUGAUGAUGAUGAUGAAGAUGAUGAGGACGAUGAGGAACACACAGUUCCAGCUUCAGAUGGUGACCCUGACGUGGAUCCAGAAGGUCCAGCUAUAGUGGCACCCACUGGUGAAGGUGCCUUUCGACUGCGGAGCUCACUCAGAGGUGCACUCCAGGACUCAGGUGUAAGGAGCUGUACACCCGCACCGCUCUCUGAUUUUGUAUCACUGGUGGGGAGAGGAGGGUUACACAAACCCCCUGGCAGAGCAGCCUGAGUCUCUUUAUAGAAUAUGUCCAUCUUAUAUUGGUUCAGACACUUAGCACUGCAAAACUGAAGCCUCCUCUCACCAGCUCCAAAAUCCAGGUAUUCCUUAGUGUGGCGGAUGUGUUUGCACCAAUCACAGACCUGCAAUUUGAACAACCACAAAGUAAACAUUAUAAACAAAAGACUCAUAGUUUACAGCUUAUAUUUUAAAGCACACAAAUUUGAAACCAAACACUCGCCUUGGAU
ensembl:antisense